GAAAUGCGAUAAGUAAUGUGAAUUGCAGAAUUCAGUGAAUCAUCGAAUCUUUGAACGCAUAUUGCGCCUUUUGGUAUUCCAAGGGGCAUGCCUGUUCGAGCGUCAUUAAAUACCUCUCAAGCUAAAAUAUUGCUUGGUUUUGGGCUUUUUCAUCCAUUGGAUGAGCCUGAAAAUUAGUGGUGAUUGCCCUCUAGCUUUCAAGCGUAGUAAAAUAAAUUUUUUUCUCGUCUUGAUAAAAAGUUGGGAAGGAGUAUCUUGCCAAAUAAACGUAUUUUUAUUUUUAGUUGACCUCGGAUCAGGUAGGAUUACCCGCUGAACUUAA
rnacentral:misc_RNA from 1 species